GACGAACGCUGGCGGCGUGCUUAACACAUGCAAGUCGAACGGAAAGGCCCAGCUUGCUGGGUGCUCGAGUGGCGAACGGGUGAGUAACACGUGGGUGAUCUGCCCCCAACUUCGGGAUAAGCUUGGGAAACUGGGUCUAAUACCGGAUAGGACAAUCGUUUAGUGUCGGUUGUGGAAAGUUUUUUCGGUUAGGGAUGAGCCCGCGGCCUAUCAGCUUGUUGGUGGGGUAAUGGCCUACCAAGGCGUCGACGGGUAGCCGGCCUGAGAGGGUGGACGGCCACAUUGGGACUGAGAUACGGCCCAGACUCCUACGGGAGGCAGCAGUGGGGAAUAUUGCACAAUGGGCGCAAGCCUGAUGCAGCGACGCCGCGUGGGGGAUGACGGCCUUCGGGUUGUAGACCUCUUUCGACAGGGACGAAGCUUUGGUGACGGUACCUGUAUAAGAAGCACCGGCUAACUACGUG
rnacentral:rRNA from 1 species